rnacentral:rRNA from 1 species
GACGAACGCUGGCGGCGUGCUUAACACAUGCAAGUCGAACGGAAAGGCCCUGCUUUGGUGGGGUGCUCGAGUGGCGAACGGGUGAGUAACACGUGAGUAACCUGCCCUUGACUUUGGGAUAACUUCAGGAAACUGGGGCUAAUACCGGAUAGGAGCUCCUGCUGCAUGGUGGGGGUUGGAAAGUUUCGGCGGUUGGGGGUGGACUCGCGGCUUAUCAGCUUGUUGGUGGGGUAGUGGAUUACCAAGGCUUUGACGGGUAGCCGGCCUGAGAGGGUGACCGGCCACAUUGGGACUGAGAUACGGCCCAGACUCCUACGGGAGGCAGCAGUGGGGAAUAUUGCACAAUGGGCGGAAGCCUGAUGCAGCAACGCCGCGUGCGGGAUGACGGCCUUCGGGUUGUAAACCGCUUUCGCCUGUGACGAAGCGUGAGUGACGGUAAUGGGUAAAGAAGCACCGGCUAACUACGUG